GUAAAAAUGCCAGAGGUUUAUGGGUAUGGUUUAGGACCGUUUUACGACUUUUAAAGUCUUUUUACU
rnacentral:tRNA from 1 species